rnacentral:lncRNA from 1 species
AAGACUAAAUGCAUGAGUUUUACUUGUUAGGAUCACACAAUUAAUCAUAUUCUGAACCACUUAAACACCAAGAAAUAUUACAAUGCUUUCUUCUAGUAAUAAUACUCCUUCAUCAACUAAUAACAACAGUGUACAAUCUUGUACUCUCAAAAGAUCGCUCAAAAUACAUAAUUUUCAUCCAACACAAGAAAUAACGGACUUUACUCCAACCAAUCUGAAUUCACAUAAUUUCUAUAAUCACAGACUUCUUCUAUCGAAAUACACACAGCUCUUAAUAAACAACAAUUAUAAUCUUCAAAUAACUCCUCAUAUAAUUCAAUCACUCAGUGCUCCAAUUACAUAAUCAAUAAUUCAUAAAUCAAUCUCUGAUUUAUUCCACAUACUCACUUCUCAAUAUUCAAAAACUAUUCAUUACUUUUCAACAAUAAAGAAACAAAGAGACAAAGAAGUAGCACCAAGUUUAUCCCGGCUCAUGACUAUCAUAGUCUGGCCUUCAGACUAACUUCUAAAAUUCCUGUAUACUUACUCCAUAUUCCCAGAUUUUAAUCGUAAUUUCAUAAUUAAUUACUUUUAAUAACUAAACCAUCUAUCCUCCUGAAUUGACUAUUCUAUGGACUAUUAGUCUAUUUUACCAAUAUCUAAUAAAAAUGAAGUAAUAUCUAUUCUACAUAGCCCCACUCCUAUCUAUG